rnacentral:lncRNA from 1 species
CGCGCGAUCCUCUCCGCGAGAACAGCCGGAGUUGGGGGCUCUCGCACCUUAAAUGCUCACAUUUGCUCGUUGCUCAGCCAGCCAUCUUCUUUCUCUAACGGCUGGUUUUGAAAGUUUGGAGGAGAAUGAAACCUAACAGAACUUUCUGAAGAAAUAGUCCACCGGCUCCAUGGACUAGGAGCUAUGGAUAAAAGUAGCCCAGGAAAUGUCACUCUCAGCCAUUCAGAUGACAUCCUUCCUUUUCAACACAGUGGGUAGGUUGUGCCAGUUCCAGCUCCCAUCCCAGGAGGACCUCCUGCCAGCCUCCUUGACAUAUGCACAUGGCCACAGUCAGACCCAGCACCAUCUGUCCCCUGUGGUGAGGUGAAGAUCCAGUUCUGCCUGAGUCUGUGUCCCAGGGGGAGAGGAGCUGGAGUGAGCCACCUCUUGGGAUUUCACUGGGCAGGAGGAGACUGGGCUACUGCAGGAGUUCUGGGGGAUGGGCUUGGUGGCAUUGCUGCAAUCACUGUUAUUUUGGGGAUGGAAGCUUUAAAAUGUAUGACAGAACCAUAUAAAUCCACGAAAGAGUUACAUCAGCCAUGGGUUUCAUCCCUGCUCUCACAGCAGAACUGUGGUGAUGAUUCGGAAAAGCAGGAAUGUACUGAACACACCCUAGACCAGUGAAAAGGAAACUCCAGCUGUAUAGCCCAAAGACACAAAUCUGGGUGAUUCAGAUGCACAGACAGCAUUAAAAGGCAGUGACAGAACCUGACAUGAGGAGCCUCCUGAUGUGACACAAUACAAAACACAACAUCACCAAGGAAGUAUCAUUACCAAAAAUGUCUAACCUGAAUCCAGCUUCAGAAAACAACAUGCCAACCCCGGUUGUGGAUAUUCUAUAAUACAAGUGGCAGGACUCUUCAGGGAAGUCAAUGCCAUUAAGAGAAACAACGAAGGCAAGAUAUUUUAGACUAAAAGGCACUAAAAAGACAUAAUUCAACACAUAAACCUUGAUUGUGGCUCAGAAUUAAAACACACACAAAUAUUAUAAAAAUCUUUGGAAACAACUGGAGAACUUUGAAUAUAAAAUGUAGAUUAGAUGUUAUUAAAUCAUUAGCUUUUUUAGCUGUGAUGAUGAUAUUGUGG